rnacentral:rRNA from 1 species
AAACCUGCGAAACUCGAAUGAACGAACGGAGAGAUUCAUCGCCACUCCGCGGCGUACUAGCCCGCGCCUCGAUGCGCCGCGCCUCGGCGCGGACACGGGUCGGGCGUGUCGACGUCCGCGGACGGCGUGCACUUCUCUCUCAGUAAACUUAAUACAUCGCGACCCGUUCGAGGUACGGUCUAAGCGCGGUCCGCGGGAGCCGGACGGCGGCGUCUAAACAGCGCCAGCCGCCCGACCGCGAUCGUCGCCGACCUGCGUCGGACGGUAGUUGUUACUCGAAUCGCGCACGCGCCUCGCGCGCGUCAGGCCCGACGCAAGCGUUUCGCGUCGUCGCCCGUUUCCUGCCUAUGCGCGGACGCGGGCGCGGCGCCGCUGCCGUCGCAGCCGGUACAGUCUUCUGACCGUGCGCGUUUCAGUCUGCGAUGUUUCAGUUUCGGGCACUCGCAGGAC